AUGGACACAUUUAAUAAGUUGAUAAGACCGCUAUUUCAGCAAAUGAAAAAUAGGAAAGUAAAAGAAAAUGCAUUAUACUUUAUUAAUUUAACAAAUUUACAUGUAUAUGAACAGUUGUUGGUGGAGGAAAGUUUGUAUAGGCUGAGUAACUACAUAAGCAACGGAUUAAAUAAUAUAGGCUUUGUAAUAAUAAAUAACACAGUUAAUAAUAAUUGUGUUAAUAACAGCUAUACGAACAAACGUGUCCAUAUUCAUGAAAAAAAUGAAAAAAAUGAAAAAAAUGAAAAAAAUGAAAAAUAUGAAAAAAAUGAAAAAAAUGAAAAAUAUGAAAAAAAUGAAAAAAAUGAAAAAAGAGAAAUAAAAGAAGAGAUUGUAAAUAAUACGGAAAAAAAUUUUGAAAAUAAAAAAAAGAAGCAACAAAUUUUGUUAAAUAACAAAUGUGUUGUAUUCGGAAUAAGUGGAAAAACCAAAGAUUAUUUAAAAAAUACAAAUUAUAUUGAAAAAAAUAAUAUUUUAUUAAUUAAGAGAUAUACAGGUGGAGGAACUGUGUUUAUUAAUAAUAAUUGUUUGUUGAUAUCUUUUAUACUUCCACAUACAUUUGAAACAAAACAAAAAAUAUAUCCAGGAAAUAUAAAUGAAUGGGCAUUUGAUUUAUUUUAUAAGCAAGAACAUACAUCUAUAAAUAAAAAAAAUAUUAUUUUUAAUGAAAAUUUUCAUUGUUUUCAGAACGAUUAUGUUUACAAAACAUGUCCUAACAACAUUGAUAAUAAUAAUCAUAAUAAAAUAAUUAUAAAAAAAGUAGGUGGAAAUGCACAAGCCUUUUCCAAAUAUUAUUUUGUGCAUCAUACAUCAUUUCUAUGGGAUGUAAAUAAUAACAACAUGCACAAAGUAUUAAAAAAUCCUGUAAAACAACCUAUAUAUAGAAAUAACAGAAAUCAUAAUGACUUUCUUACUUCGUUUACUAAAUGUCUAAAUCAAAAUGUUAAAACAGUUAAUUCUUUUAUGGAUAAUUUUUUAUUAAAUAUAAGAAAUGUUAUAAAUAGAAAAAAUAAUGUAGAAAAAGAGAGUAUAUGGAACUUUCACAUGAUACAAGUAAAUUAUAACAACAACGACAAUGGCAACAACGACAAUGGCAACAACGACAAUAGCAACAACGACAAUAGCAACAACGACAAUAGCAACAACGACAAUAGCAACAACGACAAUGACAAUAGUAACUUAAUAAUAAAUAAAAAUAAACUAUUUGAUAAUGUAUAUACAGUGGAUAUAAAUUUAUUAAAAACAAUUUUUUGGUUUUAUUCAAAUAAUAGUAUGUUUCAGAAUUUAAGGUCUACCCAUUUUUUGGAUAUACAUGGUGAUAAACUGCCUGAUAAUUUUCACAAAUUUCCUUCUUACAUUUUAGCAUAA
rnacentral:lncRNA from 1 species